rnacentral:rRNA from 1 species
UACGUAGGGUGCGAGCGUUGUCCGGAAUUAUUGGGCGUAAAGGGCUCGUAGGCGGUUUGUCGCGUCGGGAGUGAAAACUCAGGGCUUAACCCUGAGCCUGCUUCCGAUACGGGCAGACUAGAGGUAUGCAGGGGAGAACGGAAUUCCUGGUGUAGCGGUGAAAUGCGCAGAUAUCAGGAGGAACACCGGUGGCGAAGGCGGUUCUCUGGGCAUUACUGACACUGAAAAGCGAAAGCCAGGGGAGCAAACGGG